GUAGGGAAUAUUGCACAAUGGAGGAAACUCUGAUGCAGCGACGCCGCGUGAGUGAUGAAGGCCUUCGGGUCGUAAAGCUCUGUCGCAGGGGAAUAACACAAUGAAUGUACCCUGUAAGAAAGGAUCGGCUAACUUCGUGCCAGCAGCCGCGGUAAGACGAGGGAUCCUAGCGUUGUUCGGAAUCAUUGGGCGUAAAGCGGGUGUAGGUGGCUUUGUAAGUCAGGUGUGAAAGCCUAGGGCUCAACCCUAGAAGUGCAUUUGAUACUGCAAAGCUUGAGUGCUAGAGAGGUUACUAGAAUUGUUGGUGUAGUGGUGAAAUACGUAGAUAUCAACAGGAAUACCGGUGGCGAAGGCGGGUAACUGGCUAGACACUGACACUCAGACCCGAAAGUGCGGGGAUCAAACAGGAUUAGAAACCCUAGUAGUCC
rnacentral:rRNA from 1 species